AGAGUUUGAUCCUGGCUCAGAUUGAACGCUGGCGGCAUGGCUAAAACAUGCAAGUCGAACGCGAAAGGUAGCAAUACCAAGUAGAGUGGCGAAAGGGCGAGUAAUGCAUUCCUACGUGCCCCAAGGUCGGGAAUAGCUCGGGGAAACCCGAAUUAAAACCCGAUAAUGUCUACGGACCAAAGGCUUGCUGCCUUGGGAGCGGGGAAUGUCCUAUCAGGUUGUUGGUGAGGUAACGGCUCACCAAGCCUAAGACGGGUAGCGGGUGUGAGAGCACGGCCCGCCGCAUCGGGACUGAGACACUGCCCGGACUCCUACGGGAGGCUGCAGUAACGAAUCUUCCGCAAUGCGCGAAAGCGUGACGGAGCAAUGCCGCGUGCAGGAUGAAGCCCUUCGGGGUGUAAACUGCUGUCAGGGUGUAGCAACACAAUGAGCAGACCCAAAGGAAGAGAUGGCUAACUCUGUGCCAGCAGCCGCGGUAAUACAGAGAUCUCGAGCGUUAAUCGGAGUCACUGGGCUUAAAGCGUACGUAGACGGACUUGCAAGCAUCUUGUGAAAUCCCUCGGCUCAACCGAGGAACUGCUUGGUGAACUGCGAGUCUUGAGGCAAGUAGAGGCUGUCGGAACGAUAGGUGGAGCGGUGAAAUGCGUUGAUAUCUAUCGGAACGCCGAAGGUGAAAACAGGCAGCUGGGCUUGUUCUGACGCUGAGGUACGAAAGCGUGGGGAUCAAACGGGAUUAGAUACCCCGGUAGUCCACGCCGUAAACGGUGUGCACUAGAUCCUGGAGGCUCUGACGUCCUCAGGGUCGAAGCAAAAGUGGUAAGUGCACCGCCUGGGGAGUACGGUCGCAAGGCUAAAACUCAAAGGAAUUGACGGGGGCUCACACAAGCGGUGGAGCAUGUGGCUCAAUUCGAAGCAACGCGAAGAACCUUAUCCUAGGCUUGACAUGCACGUAUUAACCCGCCGAAAGGCGAGCCAGGCCCGCAAGGGUACAACGUGGACAGGUGCUGCAUGGCUGUCGUCAGCUCGUGCUGUGAAGUGUCGGGUUAAGUCCCUUAACGAAGCGGAAACCCCUGUCGUUAGUUGCCACCGCGUCAAGGUGGGGACUCUAGCGAGACUGCCGGUGUCAAAUCGGAGGAAGGUGGGGAUGACGUCAAGUCCGCAUGGCCUUUAUGCCUAGGGCUGCACACGUGCUACAAUGGCGCGCACAGAACGAUGCAAGACCGCAAGGUGGAGCAAAUCGCUCAAAACGCGCCCCAGUUCGGAUUGAGGGCUGCAACCCGCCCUCAUGAAGUCGGAAUCGCUAGUAAUCGCGGAUCAGCUACGCCGCGGUGAAUACGUUCCUGAGCCUUGUACACACCGCCCGUCAAGUCAUGGAAGCCGGUAGCGCCCGAAGCCGCCUCAAUUCAGAGGUGCCCACGGCGAGGCUGGUGACUGGGACUAAGUCGUAACAAGGUAACC
rnacentral:rRNA from 1 species